rnacentral:rRNA from 1 species
AUGGAUUCUGGCAGCUCAGUGCGAGUGGUGGAGUCCUGCCUCGUAACGCCAAGCGACGACACGCCGCGGGAAGGGCUCUGGCUCUCCGCGCUGGACCUCGUGCUGGCCAACAGGGGCCACACCCCGCUCGUCCACUUCUACAGCACCGCCGGCGCCGGCAGUGACGUUGCCGACGACUUCUUUGACGUGGCCAGGCUCAAGGAGUCCAUGGCGAGGGCGCUGGUGCCCUUCUACCCUCUCGCCGGCCGCCUCGGCGUGGACUCCGGCGGACGGACCGAGGUCAACUGCAACGGGGAGGGCGCGCUCUUCGUGGUGGCUCGCUCGGACCACACCCUGCAGGACUUCGUCGAUCCCACGCCGUCGCCGGAGUUAAGGAGGCUGUUCGGUCCCCGCGUUCAUCCGUCGUCCAUUGUGUUGGCCGUGCAGGUGACCUUCCUCAGGUGUGGCGGCGUGGUCUUAGGGACAGCGGUGCACCACGCCGUCGUGGAUGGCGCCAGCACGUUCCAGUUCCUGCGGACGUGGGCGAGCUACUCCAGGGACGGCGAGAGCGCCGCGGUGGAUCCCCCGUGCCACCACCGCGCCCUCCUCCGCGCGCGGUCACCCCCCGUGAUCCACCCUGAGACCAUCCCCAUGUUCUGCAACGAGCUAAUCAUGCACGAGCAGGAGCCGUCGUCGUCAACAGGGACGACGACGUCGUCGACCGUCGUGAGUCGUGACGAGGAUCCUCACCGUCUCCAGGGACCAGCUACGCGCCCUGAAGCGCCUCUGCGGCGGCGCCAGCACGUUCUGCGCCGUGACGGCCCUCGUGUGGCGGUGCGUCUGCGUAGCCCGGCCAGGCCUGCACCCGGACUCCACCACGCGCAUCAACUUCCCGGUGGACAUCAGGCGCCGCCUGACGCCGCCGCUCCCGGACGGCUACUUCGGCAACGGGGUCGUCAACGUGUUCGCCACGGCCGCGGUGAAGGACGUGGUGUCGCAGACGCUGGCCUCCGUCGCCGGCCGGGUCAAAGCCGCCGCGGGCCGGGUCGACGACGAGCUGCUCAGGUCGGCGGUGGACUACUUCGAGGAGACGGCGAAGCAGGGCGUGCGGCGGCGGGCGGAGGACAGGGGGAACCUGCCGGAGACGGAGCUGCGGAUGAACAGCUGGUUCCGCAUCCCGGUGCACGACGUGGACUUCGGGUGGGGGCAGCCGCGCGCGAUGAGCCGGGCGGAGGCUGUGCGCGCCGGGUGGGUGUACCUGUUCGCCGCCUCCGCCGACGGCAGCGCGCGCGUGCUCAUCUCCUUGGAGGCGGCGACUCACCACAAGUUCCAGCACGCCGUCGCUGA